AUACGGAGGGUGCAAGCGUUACUCGGAAUCACUGGGCGUAAAGCGCGCGCAGGCGGCUAUUUAAGUUGGAUGUGAAAGCCUACGGCUCAACCGUAGAACUGCAUCCAAAACUAUUUAGCUAGAGUGUGGGAGAGGAAGAUGGAAUUAGUUGUGUAGGGGUAAAAUCCGUAGAGAUAACUAGGAAUACCAAAAGCGAAGGCAAUCUUCUGGAACACUACUGACGCUGAGGCGCGAAAGCGAGGGGAGCAAACAGGAUUAGAAACCCGUGUAGUCC
rnacentral:rRNA from 1 species